GCCGGCUUAGCUCAGUGGCAUGAGCGUCUGUUUUCGGUUCUUCUGAUCGCAGACGGUCGUAGGUUCGACCCCUGCAGUCGGCU